AACGAACGCUGGCGGCAUGCCUAACACAUGCAAGUCGAACGAGACCUUCGGGUCUAGUGGCGCACGGGUGCGUAACGCGUGGGAAUCUGCCCUUGGGUUCGGAAUAACAGUGAGAAAUUACUGCUAAUACCGGAUGAUGACUUCGGUCCAAAGAUUUAUCGCCCAAGGAUGAGCCCGCGUAGGAUUAGGUAGUUGGUGGGGUAAUGGCCUACCAAGCCGACGAUCCUUAGCUGGUCUGAGAGGAUGAUCAGCCACACUGGGACUGAGACACGGCCCAGACUCCUACGGGAGGCAGCAGUGGGGAAUAUUGGACAAUGGGCGAAAGCCUGAUCCAGCAAUGCCGCGUGAGUGAUGAAGGCCUUAGGGUUGUAAAGCUCUUUUACCAGGGAUGAUAAUGACAGUACCUGGAGAAUAAGCUCCGGCUAACUCCGUG
rnacentral:rRNA from 1 species